rnacentral:rRNA from 1 species
UACGUAGGGGGCUAGCGUUGUCCGGAAUUACUGGGCGUAAAGGGCGCGUAGGCGGCCCCUUUUGUCGCGUGUGAAAGCCCCGGGCUCAACCUGGGAACGGCGCGCGAAACGGGGGGGCUUGAGUUCGGGAGAGGAGAAUGGAAUUCCCGGUGUAGCGGUGAAAUGCGCAGAUAUCGGGAGGAACACCGGUGGCGAAGGCGGUUCUCUGGGCCUGACCUGACGCUGAGGAGCGAAAGCGUGGGGAGCGAACAGG